ensembl:lncRNA
CUUGAACUGAUUUGUUGAGCUGUGACUCUCUGGAUUUGAGAAGAGUCUUGAUAACACUGAGGACCUGAGUUUCUCUGGGGACUGGAGAUGAGGAGUUAAACUGCAGUUUGCUUGUAACCAGUGCUGAACCAGUUCUGUUCAUUAGAGGUAAGCUUGUUUUGCCAAGGACUGCUGUAGAUGUUAGGAAGUGCACUGUAGGAUUAUUUUCUGUCUGAGAAUUAGUCAAAGCUGUUGUUGUAAACACUGGAACUGUUGUUGUAUUUAAAUUAGAUAUAGCUUGUGAUUGUGCUGUUGUUGGCUCUUCCAACAAUGUUGAGGAGGACAUUCUGGUUGUAAUUGUUUCACUACUAGUUGUUGUGAUUUUAGAAUUAGGUGUGGUUGUUGAAUCAGUUAUAUCUGUUUUUAAUGCACUGAAGGUAGUAAUUUUCAUCUCAGACAUUGUUGUGCUUUGUGGAUGAAUAUUCUUGGAUGUUGUUGUCACUGACUCCUCCAGCAAAGUUGGAGGGGUUGUGGUGCUUGUGGGGGUCAAAGUUGUAGUUUUUUCACCAAUACUUGUAUUAAUUGCAGGCAUAGUUGUAGUUUCUGGAUGAGUUGUGGUGUUUUGUGUGAUAGUUGAGAAUGUUGGAGGAGCUACUGUGGUUUUGAGACCCAAGAUUAUAGUUGUCUCACCUAUAGUUGCUGUUGGAAGUGUAUUUGUGCCAGCCAAAGUUGUUGUUGCACUAGUAGUUGUAACAGGAAGUACUGUUGUUGUUUCAAACAUAGUUGUGGAUGUUGAUUCAAUUGUCGAUAAGGGUGCUGAAGAUGAGAAUGAUGGAGGGAUGCUUGUGUUGGCGAUAUUUGUUGUUGUUGCGCCAAUAGUUUUGGUUACUGCAUCAGUUGUCAACAUUGGUGCUGCAACUGAAGAUGUUGCAAGGGUGCUUAUGUUAAACAAAACUGUUGUUUCAAGAACUGUUGUUUUAGGCACAGUUGUUGUUUCUUCAUCAGAUGUCAACAAUGGUUCUAGAAGUGAUGAUGUUAGAGGGGUGCUUGUGUCAAAGUUGUUGUUGCACCAAUAGGUGUUGUUGGUAGGACUGAUGUUGUUUCAGGCAUAGUUGUGGUUGCUGCAUCAGUUAACUGUGCUACAGUUGAGGAUGUUGGAGGAGUGCUUGUGGGAGUCAAAGUUGAUGUUUUUGAAUCAAUAUUUGUUGUGGUGUCAGCCAUAGUUGUGGAAGCAGCAUCAGAUGCUGACAUUGGUGCUAGAACAGAUAAUGUAGACAAAGCUGUUGUUGCACCAACAGUUGUUGCUGGAUGGACUUUUUUUGUUUCAGGAAUAGUUGUGACUGCCGCACCAGUAGUCAAAGUUGGUGCAAAAGAUGAGGAUGCUGGAGGAGCACUUGUAAUAGUCAAAGUUGUUGUUGUUGCACCAAUAGUUGUUUUUGAAAAUACCAUUGAUGUUUCAGGCAAAGUUCUGAUUGUUGCAUCAGAUGUCAUUGUUGGUGCUAGAACAGAUUUUGUUGUUGCACCAAAAGUUUUUGUUGGAAGAACUGUUUCUGUUUCAGCCAUAGUUGCGUUUGCUGCAUCAGUUGUCAAUGUUGGUGCUACAGAUGAGGACACUGGAGGGGUACUUUUGGCAGCCAAAGCUGUUGCACUAAUAGUUGUUUUGGAAAGUACUGUUGUUGUUUUAGGUGAAGUUGUGGUUGCUGCAUCAGUUGUUGAUUUUGGUGCUAUAUUUGAGGAUGUUGAAGGGAUGGUUGUGUCAGUCAACUUUUGUGCUAUAGAUAAGGAUGUUGGAGAUGUGGCCAAAGUUGUUAUUGUCUCGCCAGUAGCUGUAUUUGGAAGAUAUGUUGUGGUUUCAGCCACAGUAAUUGUUGUAGGAUUGUUUGUUGUUGUGGAAACCAAAGUUGUUGUUGUCUCAACAAUAGUAGCAUUUGUUGGAAACACUGUUGUUAUUUCAGACAUAGUUGUGACUGCUGCAUCAAUAUUAUUUGUUGUUGUUGUUGUUGUAUUUGCACCAGUAGUUGUUGUAUGUUCAGGCAAAGUUGUGGUUGCUACAUUAGAUGAGGACUCUAGAGGGGUGCUAGUGAUAGCCAAGGUUGUUGUUUCAUGACUAGUUGUUGUUGGAAGUACUGUUGUUGCAUCAGCAAUAGUUGUCAUUGCUGAGUCACUUGUCAACACCUGUGCUGUGGUUGUGAAUGUUGGAUUAGUGGUUUUGGAAACCAAAUUUGUUGUUGUUUCAAUAAUUGUUGUGAUGUAAGGCUUGAGCAUAGUUGAGGAUAUUUGAGGGGUUCUUGUUGUUACACCAAUAGUGGUUGAGGAUUCAAGCUUAGUUUUAGUUGCCGAAUCAGUUGUCAGUGUUGGUGCUACAUUUGAGGAUGUUGGAGUAGUGCUUGUGGUAGCCAAAAUUGUUGUUGUUGCACCAGUAGUUGUUUUUGGAAGUGCUAUUGUGUUGUCAGGCAUAGGUGUGGUUGCUAACCCAGCUGAUGAUGCUACAGUUGAGGAUGUUGGAGGGAUGCUGGCGCUAAGCAAAGAUGUUGCUGUGUCUGGCAUAGUUGUGGUUGCUGCAUCAGUUGAUGAUGCUGGUGCUAUAGUUGAUGAUAUUUGAGGAAUGGUUCCGGAAGCCAAAUUUGUUUUUGCAUCAGUAGUUUCUGUGGUGUCAGAGAGAAUUGUGGUUGCCACUUCAGUUUUUGUUGACAUUGGUGCCACAGUUGAAGAUGUUGAAAGGGUGGAUGUGCUAUCUAAAGUUGUUGCAUCAAUAAUUGUUGUAAAGUCAGGCAUAGUUGUUGUUCCAUCAGUUGUCGAUGUUUUUGCCACUGUUGAGGAAUCUGGAGAAGUGGUUGUAGGAGCCAAAGUUGCUGUCACAUCAGUAGUUGCUGUGGUGUCAAGCAUACUUGUGGUUGAUGCAACAUUUGUUGUUGACAAUGGUGCCACAGUUGAGGAUGUUGGAUGGGUGGUUAUGGCCAAAGUUGUUGUUGCAUAAAUAUUUGUUGUGAUGUCAGGCAUAGUUGGGGUUGUUGCAUGACCUGUUAACGCUGGAGGGGUGGUUGUGGAAUCCAAAGUUGUUUCAGCAUCAGUAGUUUUUGUGGUGUCAGGCAUGGUUGUUGCUGCUGCAUCAGUUGUCAAAAUUUGUGCUACAGUUGAAGAUGCUGGAGGAGUUGUUGUGGAAAAAAAAAAAAAAAAAAAAAAAAAAAAAAAAAAAAAAAAAAAAAAAAAAAAAAAAAAAAAAAAAAAAAAAAAAAAAAAAAAAAAAAAAAAAAAAAAAAAAA